rnacentral:lncRNA from 1 species
GGACACCAAAAUUGUCUGAAACAUUAUUUUUACCAUCAAGCUGAAUGAAAAGUGGGUUUAUAUUGAACUCAUGGACAUAGUUUAGAAGGCUUCCUUGUCCUAGAAAUGUCAAUCAUUUGGAGAAGUGAGUUUCACACCGUGAUGAACUAAGUAUCUCGGCGUAAAAACCCCAGCAACUUGCCCUCACGUCUCCACAGCAGGAAGUGGCUUUUGAGUCAGGAUCAGGGAUCACUGCAGUGGCUGAGAGCUGUCCCUGAAAGAACUGAUUUCCACACGUUCAGAAACUGAUGCCAAGAAGAGGUUCACACUAUACCCACGAUUUGGAACGUCAGCUGGGAGCUUCCCACACCAGCAUCUCAUUUCAUUUUCAAGAGUGUCAUUGAGUUCCCGCGUGCCCACCACAGCACCGAUUCCUCUAGCCCUUUCCAGACAAGCUCUUCAGCACUCUUCAGUGUCUUCCCACCAUCAACAGUGCUGUUGGGAGCUCCCCUAGUGGACUGUUGCCCAUAUAAAGCCCUUCAAGGCGCUGUUAUAUCAAAGGAUUUGUGUGGACAAGCUUCAGGGAUGCAUCUGGGACAAGGCUUUUGCUGGACCUCUCGGUCCUGGGGCCUAGAGUCAGUCACGACAAAGAAGAAAGCCUGCAACAAUUGGGAAAGUCUUUGCAGGGGAGUAAGAAGGGACAGUGCUAGCCUUCCCACUGCAUUGCAAGCUCUCCUCUACAUGGGACCAGAUCAGGGCCAGGCUGUCUUCAUUGUGACGGGUGGAUUUCAGAAUUUGUAGAAUUGUGGACCUGGGAAUCUCAGGAGAGAAGCAGGUGCCAAAGGCAUUUCUAUCAUUGCAAAGCUGAUCACGUCUAUAAUUUUCCACAGCAUCUCUCUAUGAGAUCAGGUACAAGGAGAUUUCACAGUCUGGGAGGAACCUGCCGGAAAUGCAGCCCCGUGGCUUCCUGUUCUCUUCAUGGGAAGGCAUUGUCAUCAUAGCUUCCAUUUUUG